ACCCUUUAAUGUUUGAUGUUCUAACGUGGACCCGUUACCCGGGUUGCGGACAGUGUCUGGUGGGUAGUUUGACUGGGGCGGUCUCCUCCUAAAGAGUAACGGAGGAGCACGAAGGUUGGCUAAUCCUGGUCGGACAUCAGGAGGUUAGUGCAAUGGCAUAAGCCAGCUUGACUGCGAGCGUGACGGCGCGAGCAGGUGCGAAAGCAGGUCAUAGUGAUCCGGUGGUUCUGAAUGGAAGGGCCAUCGCUCAACGGAUAAAAGGUACUCCGGGGAUAACAGGCUGAUACCGCCCAAGAGUUCAUAUCGACGGCGGUGUUUGGCACCUCGAUGUCGGCUCAUCACAUCCUGGGGCUGAAGUAGGUCCCAAGGGUAUGGCUGUUCGCCAUUUAAAGUGGUACGCGAGCUGGGUUUAGAACGUCGUGAGACAGUUCGGUCCCUAUCUGCCGUGGGCGCUGGAGAACUGAGGGGGGCUGCUCCUAGUACGAGAGGACCGGAGUGGACGCAUCACUGGUGUUCGGGUUGUCAUGCCAAUGGCACUGCCCGGUAGCUAAAUGCGGAAGAGAUAAGUGCUGAAAGCAUCUAAGCACGAAACUUGCCCCGAGAUGAGUUCUCCCUGAGACUUUAGGUCUCCUGAAGGAACGUUGAAGACGACGACGUUGAUAGGCCGGGUGUGUAAGCGCAGCGAUGCGUUGAGCUAACCGGUACUAAUGAACCGUGAGGCUUAACCUUACAACGCCGAAG
rnacentral:rRNA from 2 species